GAUCUUAAGAUUAGAGAUUAAAUUUUGAAAAAGGUUAAAUUUUGAAAAAGAUUAAAUUUUUGUUUAAGUUAGAAAUGUAAGAUUAAUUUUUGAAAAGAUUAGUGUUUUUACGGUUAGUUUUGAAGUUUAUAUCUAGAAUAUUGAAUGUAUAAUUUAUGUUCGGAGUUAGGAUCUAGAAUAUAGAGUCUAAUUCAGUAUUAAAUCUUUUUCUUUAGGAAACCAUAGUUUCAGAUUAAGAAGAUUAAAUUUUGAAUUUAAUUUUAAGCUUUGAAAUUAUAAUAUGAAAAGAUUAGAUCAGUUUUAAGAGUUUUCUUUAGAGUUUAGGGUAUAAAACCAUGUUUAGGGUUUAGGGGUUCAAAUAGCUUUUCUUAGCGUUAGGAAAAUGAUAUUAUAUGUCUUUGAUAGCAUUAUCGAAGCCGCUUAAAUAAUAUUUUGGCGUUUAAGUCUAAUUUCCCAAUAAAUUUUGGCAGAUUCUGUGAUUUUAUCUUCCCGCUCACUUAAUUUUCAAAAUAGCAUUAACUACGUGUUAUUUUAGGUUGCACUCUAUUAUAGCGUUUAUCUAAUGCUAUUAUAUAAUACGGAAAAUUUUAAGUUAUCUACGAUAGCAGUUCAGUAAAACGUGCUAUAGUAAUCUGCUAUCAAUGUAGACUUUUUUGUAGUGUCGGAGUCGUCUCGCUUUCAAGAUACUGAUAAUUAAAUCAA
rnacentral:lncRNA from 1 species